GUGCUCGCUUCAGCAGCACGUUUGCCAAGACUAGAAUGAUACGGACAUCAGCGUGACCCCUGUGCAGAGAUGACACACAAAGUCAAGAAACGUGCCAUACUCUU
ensembl:snRNA U6 U6 spliceosomal RNA